rnacentral:rRNA from 1 species
GACGAACGCUGGCGGCGUGCUUAACACAUGCAAGUCGAACGGAAAGGCCCUGCUUUUGUUGGGUGCUCGAGUGGCGCAAGGGGGAGUAACACGUGAGGAACCUGCCCCUUAUUUUCGGAUAUAUUCUGGAAACCGGGGCUAAUAUCCGGUAGGAGCUCCUGCUGCGCGGUGGGGGGUGGAAAGUUUCGGCGGUUGGGGUUGGACUCGCGGCUUAUCAGCUUGUUGGUGGGGUAGUGGCUUACCAAGGCUUUGACGGGUAGCCGGCCUGGGAGGGUGACCGGCCACAUUGGGACUGAGAUACGGCCCAGACUCCUACGGGAGGCAGCAGUGGGGAAUAUUGCACAAUGGGCGGAAGCCUGAUGCAGCAACGCCGCGUGCGGGAUGACGGCCUUCGGGUUGUAAACCGCUUUCGCCUGUGACGAAGCGUGAGUGACGGUAAUGGGUAAAGAAGCACCGGCUAACUACGUG